rnacentral:rRNA from 1 species
GGGUUGUGAGGUUAAGCGACUAAGCGUACACGGUGGAUGCCCUGGCAGUCAGAGGCGAUGAAGGACGUGCUAAUCUGCGAUAAGCGUCGGUAAGGUGAUAUGAACCGUUAUAACCGGCGAUUUCCGAAUGGGGAAACCCAGUGUGWUUCGWCACACUAUCAUUAACUGAAUCCAUAGGUUAAUGAGGCGAACCGGGGGAACUGAAACAUCUAAGUACCCCGAGGAAAAGAAAUCAACCGAGAUUCCCCCAGUAGCGGCGAGCGAACGGGGAGCAGCCCAGAGCCUGAAUCAGUGUGUGUGUUAGUGGAAGCGUCUGGAAAGGCGCGCGAUACAGGGUGACAGCCCCGUACACAAAAAUGCACAUGCUGUGAGCUCGAUGAGUAGGGCGGGACACGUGGUAUCCUGUCUGAAUAUGGGGGGACCAUCCUCCAAGGCUAAAUACUCCUGACUGACCGAUAGUGAACCAGUACCGUGAGGGAAAGGCGAAAAGAACCCCGGCGAGGGGAGUGAAAAAGAACCUGAAACCGUGUACGUACAAGCAGUGGGAGCACGCUUAGGCGUGUGACUGCGUACCUUUUGUAUAAUGGGUCAGCGACUUAUAUUCUGUAGCAAGGUUAACCGAAUAGGGGAGCCGAAGGGAAACCGAGUCUUAACUGGGCGUUAAGUUGCAGGGUAUAGACCCGAAACCCGGUGAUCUAGCCAUGGGCAGGUUGAAGGUUGGGUAACACUAACUGGAGGACCGAACCGACUAAUGUUGAAAAAUUAGCGGAUGACUUGUGGCUGGGGGUGAAAGGCCAAUCAAACCGGGAGAUAGCUGGUUCUCCCCGAAAGCUAUUUAGGUAGCGCCUCGUGAAUUCAUCUCCGGGGGUAGAGCACUGUUUCGGCAAGGGGGUCAUCCCGACUUACCAACCCGAUGCAAACUGCGAAUACCGGAGAAUGUUAUCACGGGAGACACACGGCGGGUGCUAACGUCCGUCGUGAAGAGGGAAACAACCCAGACCGCCAGCUAAGGUCCCAAAGUCAUGGUUAAGUGGGAAACGAUGUGGGAAGGCCCAGACAGCCAGGAUGUUGGCUUAGAAGCAGCCAUCAUUUAAAGAAAGCGUAAUAGCUCACUGGUCGAGUCGGCCUGCGCGGAAGAUGUAACGGGGCUAAACCAUGCACCGAAGCUGCGGCAGCGACGCUKAUGCGUUGUUGGGUAGGGGAGCGUUCUGUAAGCCUGYGAAGGUGUGCUGUGAGGCAYGCUGGAGGUAUCAGAAGUGCGAAUGCUGACAUAAGUAACGAUAAAGCGGGUGAAAAGCCCGCUCGCCGGAAGACCAAGGGUUCCUGUCCAACGUUAAUCGGGGCAGGGUGAGUCGACCCCUAAGGCGAGGCCGAAAGGCGUAGUCGAUGGGAAACAGGUUAAUAUUCCUGUACUUGGUGUUACUGCGAAGGGGGGACGGAGAAGGCUAUGUUGGCCGGGCGACGGUUGUCCCGGUUUAAGCGUGUAGGCUGGUUUUCCAGGCAAAUCCGGAAAAUCAAGGCUGAGGCGUGAUGACGAGGCACUACGGUGCUGAAGCAACAAAUGCCCUGCUUCCAGGAAAAGCCUCUAAGCAUCAGGUAACAUCAAAUCGUACCCCAAACCGACACAGGUGGUCAGGUAGAGAAUACCAAGGCGCUUGAGAGAACUCGGGUGAAGGAACUAGGCAAAAUGGUGCCGUAACUUCGGGAGAAGGCACGCUGAUAUGUAGGUGAAGUCCCUCGCGGAUGGAGCUGAAAUCAGUCGAAGAUACCAGCUGGCUGCAACUGUUUAUUAAAAACACAGCACUGUGCAAACACGAAAGUGGACGUAUACGGUGUGACGCCUGCCCGGUGCCGGAAGGUUAAUUGAUGGGGUUAGCGCAAGCGAAGCUCUUGAUCGAAGCCCCGGUAAACGGCGGCCGUAACUAUAACGGUCCUAAGGUAGCGAAAUUCCUUGUCGGGUAAGUUCCGACCUGCACGAAUGGCGUAAUGAUGGCCAGGCUGUCUCCACCCGAGACUCAGUGAAAUUGAACUCGCUGUGAAGAUGCAGUGUACCCGCGGCAAGACGGAAAGACCCCGUGAACCUUUACUAUAGCUUGACACUGAACAUUGAGCCUUGAUGUGUAGGAUAGGUGGGAGGCUUUGAAGUGUGGACGCCAGUCUGCAUGGAGCCGACCUUGAAAUACCACCCUUUAAUGUUUGAUGUUCUAACGUKGACCCGURAUCCGGGUUGCGGACAGUGUCUGGUGGGUAGUUUGACUGGGGCGGUCUCCUCCUAAAGAGUAACGGAGGAGCACGAAGGUUGGCUAAUCCUGGUCGGACAUCAGGAGGUUAGUGCAAUGGCAUAAGCCAGCUUGACUGCGAGCGUGACGGCGCGAGCAGGUGCGAAAGCAGGUCAUAGUGAUCCGGUGGUUCUGAAUGGAAGGGCCAUCGCUCAACGGAUAAAAGGUACUCCGGGGAUAACAGGCUGAUACCGCCCAAGAGUUCAUAUCGACGGCGGUGUUUGGCACCUCGAUGUCGGCUCAUCACAUCCUGGGGCUGAAGUAGGUCCCAAGGGUAUGGCUGUUCGCCAUUUAAAGUGGUACGCGAGCUGGGUUUAGAACGUCGUGAGACAGUUCGGUCCCUAUCUGCCGUGGGCGCUGGAGAACUGAGGGGGGCUGCUCCUAGUACGAGAGGACCGGAGUGGACGCAUCACUGGUGUUCGGGUUGUCAUGCCAAUGGCACUGCCCGGUAGCUAAAUGCGGAAGAGAUAAGUGCUGAAAGCAUCUAAGCACGAAACUUGCCCCGAGAUGAGUUCUCCCUGACNGUGGACGCAUCACUGGUGUUCGGGUUGUCAUGCCAAUGGCACUGCCCGGUAGCUAAAUGCGGAAGAGAUAAGUGCUGAAAGCAUCUAAGCACGAAACUUGCCCCGAGAUGAGUUCUCCCUGACCCUUUAAGGGUCCUGAAGGAACGUUGAAGACGACGACGUUGAUAGGCCGGGUGUGUAAGCGCAGCGAUGCGUUGAGCUAACCGGUACUAAUGAACCGUGAGGCUUAACCUUACAACGCCGAAGRUGUU